rnacentral:tRNA from 1 species
UCCCGGCUAGCUCAGUUGGUAGAGCGUCAGACUUUUAUAAGAGUCUCCUCGCAGACGAGGGUUUAUCUGAAUGUCGUGGGUUCGAGCCCCACGUCGGGAG